AACGAACGCUGGCGGUAGGCUUAACACAUGCAAGUCGAACGCCCCGCAAGGGGAGUGGCAGACGGGUGAGUAACGCGUGGGAAUCUACCGUACCCUACGGAACAACAGUUGGAAACGACUGCUAAUACCGUAUACGCCCUACGGGGGAAAGAUUUAUCGGGGUAUGAUGAGCCCGCGUUGGAUUAGCUAGUUGGUGGGGUAACGGCCUACCAAGGCGACGAUCCAUAGCUGGUCUGAGAGGAUGAUCAGCCACAUUGGGACUGAGACACGGCCCAAACGCCUACGGGAGGCAGCAGUGGGGAAUGUUGGACAAUGGGCGCAAGCCUGAGCCAGCCAUGCCGCGUGGGUGAUGAAGGUCUUAGGAUUGUAAAGCUCUUUCACCGAUGAAGAUAAUGACGGUAGUCGGAGAAGAAGCCCCGGCUAACUUCGUGCCAGCCGCCGCGGUAA
rnacentral:rRNA from 1 species